UAUUUCCUUAGUAUAGUGGUGUUCCAGCUUGUCUACCAAAAAUAUCUGUGUAGUUAUAAAAGCCCUUGACAUGUUGAGAGCCUCUAUGAAGUUAUGACUCUAUACUGGAAUUGAAUUAUACAAUACGUAUAAUGUGUGCCUGCUUAUUCUUCCUUUCCUGAAUAAAACAUAGAUCCUAUUGAUAUUCAAGGCUAAUGUUUGACCAUUCAGACUCAGACUUAUUUCACAUGCUGUGGCAUUCACUAGGCAUAUGAAGGUUAACCUUAGAAUGUCUGCUUUGAAAGAUCAAUUGCUCAUACUAAGAAUUAAUACAUUCACUAUUCUUUGUGCAACCCUAUUUCAAAACAGGUGUGUCCUACGAUAUAUCAAAGAAACUUUUCAUGUACUUUACGUAGAGACUGUUCCAUUCAGUUCAAUAGCAGGCAUAGCUUUAUUGGCAUCUGUUCUCCACACUGAGAUUUCCAUGAUACUGAGAGGAUUGAUUCACUCAAUGAACUUUGUGCCUCCUAACUGCAGCUCCUUACAUAGAGUAGAACGAUCAGAUCAGGACUACGGUACGGUCAAUAAUAUUUUUAUUGGGAAAUUAGAGCCAUAAAAUAUUAAAAUAUAGCACACAGUUUUCCAUUGCUUUUAACUUUUUUUUUUUGCACCUUACACAAGUUCAGUAAUAUCUUCUCAAACUGCAACAUCCAUAUUUUCUUUUUAUUAUCUUUGAUGAAUUCAAUAAUAUACUAUUAGUGUUGGAAAUAAGUACUUGCUAUCUAAAAAUAGUUUCUUAUGAGUAAUACCUAUAUUUAAAAAGAUUAAUUAUUAUAACUAUAACAUUUUUUUGGAAAAAAAAAAAUUUAGAAUUCAUACAUCAUGGUAGCCUGACCUCACAAAUACUUCUGUACUGCAAAUGACCUUUUAUAUCAGCCACAACUAAGUGAAAUGAGUAAGUCAGAUUCUCCAGGGUCAUGCUAAAAUGCUGGAAAAGGAGCAAUGUAACAUAAAUAUAAAAGAAAAUAUUUUGAUAUAGUUGACAUAAAACAUUUGUGUAUGUUGUGUAUCUCCGGUAAUUCAAGAAGAAUAAAUUACAUAGCAUGGUUUCCUGUAUAAAAUGUGUGAACAACUGUGCCCUGCUUCAGAAAUGACUAAUGCCAUUGCAAGUUUUGUAUACAUGUAUGUAGUGUGCUAACUGUUAAAAUUAGUGCAUAGACCCAACUGACAUACAUAAAAGUGUGCAUGUGUGGAUAAAGUAACUAUAUUGAAAUGAAUAGGGAAAUUCUAUGCUCAUAUCUGAGUGAAGACUCUUACAAGGAUAGCAGUGUAUAUUAUAUGUUUGUGAAACUACAAACAAAUUCCAAACAAAUUAAGUAACUUAAUUAUUUAUUGAUAGUCACAUUAAUGCGAGUUGAUUGUUUAAAAAUAUUAUUAAUAAUUAAUUAAUAUUAUUUUUAAAACACAAAACAGUAAAAUAAAAUAACCCAUCUGACUGAUUUAAUAAAAAUAUUAAUUCAUAAAAUAAAACAGAGCACACAUUAUUUCACAGAUCCCUGAUUUUAGCCAAAGAACUGUUAGUUUCUGCAUAGUUAAAUAGUUUAAUUAUUUAUAUUUUGUUUUCUGAAGUCACUCCAUCAGCACCAGACUUUAUUCUAACAGGUAAUUUAUUGUAUUUGAUAAUACUUCAAAACUAUAGUUAGAUAUUUAAAAUACCAUGUCACUUCUAUACUGAAUAGACUUUGCAAAUCAGUUUAAGUCCUUUCAAAAUGAUAACGUGACACAAGUACAUGACAUUAAUUUAUUGGUUUUUAUGAAGUUCUUAAUUGACAUAGACAUAUUUGUAGACUUGAAAUAGGAUUUAUUAGCCUAUUUCACAUUAAAAGUGUUUCUAUUUUUGUUGAUCUUGCCCUUGUAAUUACAAAUAUUAAUUCAACCAAAGAUGCAGCAAUCCAGAGUGUGGGGUUUUGUUUUGUUUUUUAAUUGCUAUAUGUCAUCCCAAAGAGACAAUGUUUAUAUCCUGUUCCAUUUUCAAUGUUGAUUUCUUUUUCUUCAAGAGAAAGUUUGAUUUUUUUAAAAAAAUAAUUGUCAAAACAAAUGCUAUUCUUGCUAUACUUUUUAAUAAAACUGAGGUCAAACGUGGCCCUGUAGAGGCUCUGAAAAGACUGUAUAAUAUAGCCCUUGUUAUUUCAUCAUUGUGGAACUGAAUACAAAGCUGUUAACAGCACAACUAUAAUACAAACAGAUAAACCAGGCAUCUUCAAAUAAAUGGAUAAUUUUGGAAGAUAUUUUGGACAGAAGUCUUCAAGCCAUCAUAAUAUUGUCUAAUGGAAGAUAUCAAUAAAUAUUUCUGAAGCUAAAAAGUCUAAUAUGGAAUUUCUGAAAGAUAUUUGUAAAAAUAAUUGUGGGUGAUUUUCCAGUCCUGGUGAAAAAAGCAUUGCAGGAAACGAACAAUGGAAUCAUAGGCACUCAAGGGGAUCACAGUUCUAUGGCUACUGUACGUAGCGGUACUUUACUGAGCAAAAAUUCUUGAACUGCUUGACAAAAAAGGAAUUCCAUGGCACAUUGUGGUCUAGCUGUUGCUGUGCUGUAAAAUUCACUAGGAAUCAUUUUCCAUUAGAAUUCAUUUUUCUUCAAUUGUUAACAAUUCCAUGGUCUUUUCUAAUGGAAGUUAUAAAAUAAAUGCUUUUA